GUAUAAUUAUCGCUAAAACUACACAAAUACUAAAAUUGAAGAUUAGCAUGGCCCCUGCAUAAGAAUGACAUGCAAAUUCAUGAAGCAGUCCAUAUUUUG
ensembl:snRNA U6 U6 spliceosomal RNA